CCCAGUUGUUGUGCCCCGGGACUUAAAA
rnacentral:sRNA from 1 species